rnacentral:sRNA from 1 species
UUUUUGUUUGUUUUUGUUUUGUUUUU